AAUCAACGCUGGCGGCGUGCCUAACACAUGCAAGUCGAACGUGAAAGGGCUUCGGCCUGAGUAAAGUGGCAAACGGGUGAGUAACGCGUGGGUGAUCUGCCUCUGAGUGGGGGAUAACGUUCCGAAAGGGACGCUAAUACCGCAUGACAUCCUGUUCUUGGAUGAAUGGUGAUCGAAGCUGGGGACCGCAAGGCCUGGCCCUUGGAGAGGAGCCCGCGUCCCAUUAGCUUGUUGGUAGGGUAAUGGCCUACCAAGGCAACGAUGGUUAGCUGGUCUGAGAGGAUGGCCAGCCACACUGGAACUGAGACACGGUCCAGACUCCUACGGGAGGCAGCAGUGGGGAAUCUUGCGCAAUGGGGGAAACCCUGACGCAGCAACGCCGCGUGGGUGAUGAAGGCCUUCGGGUCGUAAAGCCCUGUCAGGUGGAAAGAACAGUGGCGACGUAAAUAACUUCGCCAUUUGACGGUACCACCAGAGGAAGCACCGGCUAACUCCGUGCCAGCAGCCGCAGUAACAC
rnacentral:rRNA from 1 species